UAUGAAGUUAUUUUCAAGAGAUAAUUUCAAUUUGAAUAAUCGCGCAGAAAAAUAAAGUAUUUAAAUAAUAUGCGCAUGCGCAGAUGUUAAUUCCGCCUCGCGAAAACAUUCAAAACAAAAACACUCGAAACGAAAAUAAAAUAUUCACCACCACCUGGUUUGCCAACAUCGUCUUUACAAGGAAUGUCCAGCAGUGCAUGACAGAGGCCGGUCACUCCCAUUAAGUCCAGCUGAAGAGCCUUCCCAGUUUAUAGGACAAAAUGCAGUUACACAGAUUUUAACGGGGUUGGAAACAAUCAGAGACGAGAACAGGGAAAUGAAGCGGAUGCUGCAGCGGCUCUUGGCUAGGUCAGCUACUGAUGACGAGCCAAUGCAACUGCCAGAGAACAUCAGUCUUCCAAUUGGAACAUUUGAGCAAAUGGAUGAGUUUGAAGAGCAUCUUGGUGAUGAAGCUACGAUCCAUCUUUUCUAGGACUGCUGCAUAGUUCAAGCUUUUUUAUCAAAUAUAUUAAGCAAUGUUGUCAAUGUAAUUGACAGUUCUUUCUUCAUUGAUCCUAAACCAUUCCUUUAAGGCUCAUCUUCUAAGAAAGCAUACAUUUUUUUUUAUCUGGAAAUGAAAUGGUAUAUAUUCCUUUGCAAAAGAAGAAACAGCAUUCCAGUUUUUGAAGGUUUUAAAAGACAUAUAUAUAUAUAUAUAUCAUGUGCAAUUACGAAAAACACUAGAAUGUAUGAAGAUAUCAAAGAUAAUAAUAUGGACUUGUUCUCGAAAAAGGAUUUGCCAUUUAUUUGAGUUUUGGAUUUUUUUGCAGGGUUUUUAAUUUCUAGUUUAUAAAAUAUUUUGUUUAGUCUUGCAAGUAUGUUUCAAAGCUCUAGAUAAGGAUUUGUGAAAUUAGUAACGGUAUUGCCGCUGACAGAAAGAAAAGGAGUAACGCUGAAAAUCAAUUAGUACCUGUACUACCAUAUCCAAAAAUACAGGUAGUACUGUACUACCCGUGUUCUUGGAUAUUGAUGGGUGUAUACCUUACUUUACAGAAACAUUUGCAGCAAUUAUAAUAAAUAUAUUUUGCUUCUUAAACAGUUACUUUAUUAGGUUUUCCAUUCUGAAUUAUGAUGCAAAUACAACUACACAUUAAAACUCAUGACUAAAUACUAUAACUUUAUUUUGCUUGACAAGAAAACACAAGCCAACUUGUAAGCUAAGUAAAUGAACACCAAUGUCACUGUCUCAUCUCAAAAGAAUCAUUGCUUUAGCAGUCAACUGUCAAAGUUGGCAUAGACUUUGCCAACUAUUACAGUUAAACGCUCAAGCAAACACUUCAACUGGGCUUACACAUUGAAUGUCAGAAUGGUUAGACGACCGUAUGUAGCCAUUAUAUGACAACAAAGUGUUUAUUUGAACCGCUUUCGGUUAAGCCGGCCUUCCAUGCUCGCAGACAUAUUGUUUUUGACGGGCUUACAAGUUACCGGAAAUCACGCCACAGAAUAGAUAAUAAUACUGGAACCCAGUCUACAACUUUUCGGUAAUUUAAAUUAAUGAAAGAGGCCGUUAGGUUAGAGACCAACAAAUAUGCCGCGCUGACACCGACGUAUCAGUACGGCCAGAUUUUUUUCGUAAAUGCGUAAAAGGGAUAUUAAAGUCGUAAUUGUACGUCCAGUUCAUAAAAAUAAAUGCGUAAGCCUUCAUGAAAAAGCCGUGUUUACGUCUGUACGGCCCUUAUCUGGAGCUCUGAUGUUUUCUACAAAUGUUCUUUGAGUACAUGGUGUGUUAUUUGUAUUGGUUAAAGAUUUAAUAUGCAUGGGUAUGCUUUUGAGUAAUGUGUAGUACAUCAGGAAAAUACUUGAAGGUAUUCUGUAUAUGUAUUAUAUAUUAAAUAUCAAAAUAAUAGAAGUCCUUAAUUCUAUAGUUGUAUAACUGGUCAACAUAUAUAAUGUUAUAGAAAAACGUCUUA